rnacentral:rRNA from 1 species
GAUGAACGCUGGCGGCGUGCCUAAUACAUGCAAGUCGAGCGAACAGACGAGGAGCUUGCUCCUCUGACGUUAGCGGCGGACGGGUGAGUAACACGUGGAUAACCUACCUAUAAGACUGGGAUAACUUCGGGAAACCGGAGCUAAUACCGGAUAAUAUAUUGAACCGCAUGGUUCAAUAGUGAAAGACGGUUUUGCUGUCACUUAUAGAUGGAUCCGCGCCGCAUUAGCUAGUUGGUAAGGUAACGGCUUACCAAGGCGACGAUGCGUAGCCGACCCGAGAGGGUGAUCGGCCACACUGGAACUGAGACACGGUCCAGACUCCUACGGGAGGCAGCAGUAGGGAAUCUUCCGCAAAGGGCGAAAGCCUGACGGAGCAACGCCGCGUGAGUGAUGAAGGUCUUCGGAUCGUAAAACUCUGUUAUUAGGGAAGAACAAAUGUGUAAGUAACUAUGCACGUCUUGACGGUACCUAAUCAGAAAGCCACGGCUAACUACGUG